rnacentral:rRNA from 1 species
GCUGGCGGCGUGCUUAACACAUGCAAGUCGAACGCGCAGCAUUCUGUAGCAAUACAGGGUGUGGGCGCGUGGCGAACGGGUGCGUAACACGUGGAUAACCUUCCUUGAGGUGGGGAAUAACCCAGUGAAAAUUGGGCUAAUACCGCAUAACAUCGCGAUGGCACAUGCUGAUGCGAUCAAAGGCGCAAGUCGCCACAAGAGGGAUCCGCGGCCGAUUAGCUUGUUGGCGAGGUAAUGGCUCACCAAGGCAAUGAUCGGUAGCCGGACUGAGAGGUUGGCCGGCCACACUGGAACUGAGACACGGUCCAGACUCCUACGGGAGGCAGCAGUGGGGAAUCUUGCACAAUGGACGAAAGUCUGAUGCAGCAACGCCGCGUGGGGGAUGAAGCUUCUCGGAGUGUAAACCCCUUUCGACCCGGAAGAAUGCCCGCAAGGGUAUGACGGUACGGGUAUAAGAAGCCCCGGCUAACUACGUGCCAGCAGCCGCGGUAAUACGUAGGGGGCCAGCGUUGCUCGGAAUUACUGGGCGUAAAGGGUCCGUA